rnacentral:sRNA from 1 species
AUUGGAUUUGUCCUGUAUCCCCCCAGUGGAGGUCCUGCAUGGGAUCUGAUGGAUCAUGAAAAUAUUUUGUUUCUCACCAUAUGCUUUUGUUGGCAUUAUGCAGUAACCAUUGUCAUCGUUGGAAUGAAUUAUGCUUUCAUUACCUGGCUGACUUCUGGGCCUCAUCUCCUUAGGGGCUGGAAAGCCUUCAAGAUCAGUGCCAGCAUCCAAGGAAAUGCUCUUCCUCAUGUCAGCUCCCCUCCAGAGCCAAAAGAAGACUACUGUCUCUUCCUGUUUCAAAACGCUUCAUACCCCUAACGGGCCUCUUAUCCACUUAUAGUACUCUGGAUACUGGACACUCCAUUUUUUAUUUUCCAACCUUCCCCUCUACCCCCAACACAUAUUAUCCUAAUCUUUCUGACCACGCAGUUCCCUCCACCUAGCAUAUUCACAUUAAAUGCACGUCUUUUCUA